rnacentral:rRNA from 1 species
CGCUCAUAUCAGGCUGCCCUGCGCAUUCCACAUUGGCGAGAGGCUAUGGAGCAGGAGUUUCAUGCUCUUCUUCGUAACAAGACAUGGACUCUCAUUCCUCCACCACCACGGGUAAAUGUUAUUGACUCAAAAUGGGUAUUCAAAGUGAAGAAGCAUUCGGAUGGAUCUAUUGAGCGUUACAAAGCGCGACUUGUUGCUCGCGGUUUUCGGCAGCGUCAUGGUCUUGACUAUGAGGACACCUUCAGUCCUGUCGUCAAGCCUACCACUAUUCGGCUUCUUCUCUCCAUUGCUGUUUCUCGUGGUUGGUCCCUUCGUCAACUUGAUGUGCAGAAUGCUUUUCUACAUGGAUUUUUGGAGGAAGAGGUUUAUAUGAAACAA